GAUGAAGAACGUAGCGAAAUGCGAUAAGUAAUGUGAAUUGCAGAAUUCAGUGAAUCAUCGAAUCUUUGAACGCCCAUUGCGCCCGCCAGUAUUCUGGCGGGCAUGCCUGUCCGAGCGUCAUUUCAACCAUCAAGCCCCGGGCUUGUGUUGGGGACCUGCGUCCGACGCAGGCCCUGAAAACCAGUGGCGGGCUCGCUGUCCACACCGAGCGUAGUAACUAACCUCGCUAUGGAGUGGCGCGGGCGCCUGCCGUAAAACCCCCAAUUUCACAAGGUUGACCUCGGAUCAGGUAGGAAUACCCGCUGAACUUAAGCAUAUCAAUAAGCGGAGGA
rnacentral:misc_RNA from 1 species